AGUGAACGCUGGCGGUAUGCCUAACACAUGCAAGUCGAACGACCACACAAUAAGAUCUUUCUCUUACGGUUGGCGGCGGACGGACGGGUGAGGAAUACAUAAGAUACAACUAUUUCUGGGGUGAUAUCGGGGAGAAGGUGACGCUAAUAGCUAAUACAACCAACGGGUGAAAUCAGUAGUGCUUGGGAGCUUUCCCGAUACAUAGAGACGACGUCGGAUUAGCUAGUUGGGGUGGUAAAGGCCCACCAAGGCAACGAUCCGUAGCUGACCUGAGAGGAUGAUCGGCCACACUGGAACUGAGACACGGUCCAGACUCCUACGGGAGGCAGCAGUAGGGAAUCUUGGACAAUGGGCGCAAGCUUGACGCAGCCACGCCGCGUGAGUGAAGAAGGUCUUCGGGUUGUAAAGCUCUUUUGUUGGGAAAGAAAAACAGCAGAUUAAUCCAUCGACGUCCUGACGGUACCUAAACAGUAAGCCACGGCUAACUUCGUG
rnacentral:rRNA from 1 species